CCCUUAGAUGUUCUGGGCCGCACGCGCGCUACACUGACGAAUGCAACGAGCUUAUAACCUUGGCCGAAAGGUCUGGGUAAUCUCCAAAUUUCGUCGUGAUGGGGAUAGAUUAUUGCAAUUAUUAAUCUUCAACGAGGAAUGCCUAGUAAGCGCAAGUCAUCAGCUUGCGUUGAUUACGUCCCUGCCCUUUGUACACACCGCCCGUCGCUCCUACCGAUUGAGUGUUCCGGUGAAUAAUUCGGACUGCAGCAGCGUGGGGACUCCUCAUGCUGCAGCGGAAAGUUUGGUGAACCUUAACACUUAGAGGAAGGAGAAGUCGUAACA
rnacentral:rRNA from 1 species